CUCGACUACGCCCCCCAUUAAACCGGCCUCCUCAGAAUCAACCACGCCCCCUGAAUCGUCCCCUAAAAUUAUUCUGGUGAUAGUUGCCCUGCUGCUAGUUGUUUGGCAUUGUAUUUCCUUUUGUGGGUUGAGUAGUGGUUGAGUUGUGCCGUUGAGCUGAGAACCCUAUAUUGGGUUCACAUGAGGUCCUGUUCUUUUUAGUAAAUCUUCUUCUUGAAGAAAGUGGCUACCAAUUCGUCGAAGGAUGUUGGUGGGUUGAAGUGAAAAUGUGUUAGGAAACUUCUGUAUGUUUCAUCUAACCCAUCCACGAUGUAGCCGAUAAUUUUUUCUUCCUCUAUGGAAGAACCGGCAGCUCGCAAUGCGUCAACUAUUGCUCGUACCUCCAUUAGGUACUCCGACAUCAACAUAACGCCGGCCUUCUUCUUCGUAGCACGUAAUUUCGUCCGGAGAAAUUUCAAGUGAAUGUUGCACAACGGUGAUAGGAAGCGAUAGAGAAGCAACCAUGCUUCCUUGGAGAUGACGUAGUGAAGGAUCAUGGUCUGAAUAGAGGGAGAGAUCGUGGAUCUUAUCCAUGUGAGAACCAGUUGGUCUGACUUGACUCACUUCUUAUAUUCAGAGUUGCUCUCUCCGGCGGGUGUCUCUGGCUUUUGGUCAAGCUCGUCGAUGAUCGGGGAUAGGUCGUGGAGUUUCAGUACUCCUAGGCAUAGUUUUUAAAGCGGCACUUUAAGCUAUUAGGUUAGUGGGUUGGGUUAAGCUGUAGAAG
rnacentral:lncRNA from 1 species